rnacentral:rRNA from 1 species
UUGAAAGGGAAACGAUUGAAGUUCAGGUCAUUGCCCGUUGGGAAUCCCAACUUAGGGGGGAACCUCUAGGGGCCCUUUCUUCGGUAUGGUUAGGGUUAAACGUCGAAUCUUGGAAUGCCAUAAAAAUAUAUUGGGGGAAGGUAGGUCUUUUCCGGAGGGGUUAUAGCCCUUGAUAGAUGUGAUGUUUGGGGUCGAGGAUUGCAACGGAUACCUUUGGGGCUAGCCGCCUGAUCUCUAAUGGGUGUUGGGUUACGGAUAGCAUGCUGACCGUGAUCUAAUUACUGGUUAAAAGGUUAGAGCGUGCAUAAAUUCGUUAAGGAUGUUGACGUA